AAGCGAGGAGCACCGGAGAACCGUACCAACACGCGCCGCAGUCAACAGGAUAGUGACUCAUUUCCACCAACAAAUAAACGGCACCGCCUAUCCCGGAUAGCGGAUCGCUCGAGUUGGCACCAUUCCCACAACCGAAAGGAUGGCAGGUGGUGCCGCGGUGAACACUGCCAACACGUGCAGGAGGAAAGGAAGGAUGGCAGGUGGUGCCGCGGUGAACACUUCCAACACGUGCAGGAGGAAAGUGCGUACCUGUUUCAUUACAUCAUGUGCACUCUGUUUUGGAACUCGAUGUUAAACUUUUUUUUUUCCAUGUCAACCGAAACCUGUCUGUUGCCUGCCUUUCUCCUGUCUGCUUCCCACGAAUCUAUGAAGGAAAGAAAGGAUGUGUCAGUAGUAUUAUCCAUUGAAGGAUUAGUUUAAACCUUUUUCCAGAGCGUUGUUUUUGUCUCCCAUUUUUCUGCCUUCCCAGGGUAUAUAUAUGAAAGAAGAAUGUAAAUUUAGUCUAUAACAUUCAUUGUAACAUGUAUUCCAGUCUUUGUGUGUUUAUUUUAGUGUAUGCAUAGAGAAAAGAAGGAUUCGAAACGUGGUAAUGAAAAGUACAAUAUUAAAUAAAUAGAUAAUAAAUAAGUGAAUAAAUAAAUAAAUAAAUAAAUGGAUGAAUUAAUGCAUACCCUAGAGAACAUUUCAUACCUACUGAGCUUACCAUAGCAAAUACACUGAUAUGCUACAAAAAAUGCACACAAGUAUAUGAAGAUGGAAAAAAAUGGGGGAAGUCUGUCUUGUGUUGUUGUUUCUAUGGUUACUGCUCUUCUGAAUUUGCCAUCAGCAUGCGUCUCUCCUUCCCCACGCUGACGCUACACAAGACUUUCACCUUUAUUCCGUUCCCUUUCAGUAGUCCAGGAGUUAAGCAAUAUCUUCAUUCUUUCAUCCCCUUCAUUAGUAAACUCUGGAAUUCUCUGCCUGUUUCUGUUUUUUCCCCUUCCUGUGACUAGUUGUUUUAAGAGCAUUGAGGCACUUCCAGAAACAUAUUUAGAUUUUUUAUUGUUGACUUUUUUUUCUUUUUUCUCUUAUUUUGUCUGUAUGUAUGGAAGCGGCAACUGAAAAGAUAUUUUUUUGUUCCUCUGUUUGCCAUUCGCCAAGAAGAUAUGAGAGUGUGAGUAUAAGUAGUGGCUAUAUGCAAAUGUUAGAAUACCAUUUUAUACUGACUCUAAAUUAAACAUGUG